GAUGAACGCUAGCUACAGGCUUAACACAUGCAAGUCGAGGGGCAGCACAGGUAGCAAUACCGGGUGGCGACCGGCGCACGGGUGAGUAACGCGUAUGCAACUUGCCUAUCAGAGGGGGAUAACCCGGCGAAAGUCGGACUAAUACCGCAUGAAGCAGGGGCCCCGCAUGGGGAUAUUUGCUAAAGAUUCAUCGCUGAUAGAUAGGCAUGCGUUCCAUUAGGCAGUUGGCGGGGUAACGGCCCACCAAACCGACGAUGGAUAGGGGUUCUGAGAGGAAGGUCCCCCACAUUGGAACUGAGACACGGUCCAA
rnacentral:rRNA from 1 species